rnacentral:rRNA from 1 species
CUCCUACGGGAGGCAGCAGUGAGGAAUAUUGGUCAAUGGACGAGAGUCUGAACCAGCCAAGUAGCGUGCAGGAAGACGGCCCUAUGGGUUGUAAACUGCUUUUAUAAGGGAAUAAAGUGAGAGUCGUGACUCUUUUUGCAUGUACCUUAUGAAUAAGGACCGGCUAACUCCGUGCCAGCAGCCGCGGUAAUACGGAGGAUCCGAGCGUUAUCCGGAUUUAUUGGGUUUAAAGGGAGCGUAGGCGGACUAUUAAGUCAGCUGUGAAAGUUUGCGGCUCAACCGUAAAAUUGCAGUUGAUACUGGUCGUCUUGAGUGCAGUAGAGGUAGGCGGAAUUCGUGGUGUAGCGGUGAAAUGCUUAGAUAUCACGAAGAACUCCGAUUGCGAAGGCAGCUUACUGGACUGUAACUGACGCUGAUGCUCGAAAGUGUGGGUAUCAAACAGGAUUAGAUACCCUGGUAGUCCACACAGUAAACGAUGAAUACUCGCUGUUUGCGAUAUACAGCAAGCGGCCAAGCGAAAGCAUUAAGUAUUCCACCUGGGGAGUACGCCGGCAACGGUGAAACUCAAAGGAAUUGACGGGGGCCCGCACAAGCGGAGGAACGUGUGGUUUAAUUCGAUGAUACGCGAGGAACCUUACCCGGGCUUAAAUUGCAAAUGAAUAUAGUGGAAACAUUAUAGCCGCAAGGCAUUUGUGAAGGUGCUGCAUGGUUGUCGUCAGCUCGUGCCGUGAGGUGUCGGCUUAAGUGCCAUAACGAGCGCAACCCUUAUCUUUAGUUACUAACAGGUCAUGCUGAGGACUCUAGAGAGACUGCCGUCGUAAGAUGUGAGGAAGGUGGGGAUGACGUCAAAUCAGCACGGCCCUUACGUCCGGGGCUACACACGUGUUACAAUGGGGGGUACAGAAGGCAGCUACACAGCGAUGUGAUGCUAAUCCCAAAAGCCUCUCUCAGUUCGGAUUGGAGUCUGCAACCCGACUCCAUGAAGCUGGAUUCGCUAGUAAUCGCGCAUCAGCCACGGCGCGGUGAAUACGUUCCCGGGCCUUGUACACACCGC